rnacentral:tRNA from 3 species
GGGCGGUUAGCUCAGUCGGCAGAGCGCAAAUUUGACGUAUUUGAGGUCAGAGGUUCGAGUCCUCUACCGCCCA